CCUGGCAGCCCUGCCACCCCCGCCUUCGGCUCCCAUUGGCUGCCACGGCCUGCAGUGGGCUGCACCAGGGUUCAUCCAUCCUCCCUGGGCAGAGGGAAUAAGAGGCUGCCUCUGCCCACCAGUCCUGCCGCCCAGGACCCGCAGCAGAGACGACGCCUGCAGCAAGGAGACCAGGAAGGGGUGAGACAAGGAAGAGGAUGUCUGAGCUGGAGAAGGCCAUGGUGGCCCUCAUCGACGUUUUCCACCAAUAUUCUGGAAGGGAGGGAGACAAGCACAAGCUGAAGAAAUCCGAACUGAAGGAGCUCAUCAACAAUGAGCUUUCCCAUUUCUUAGAGAGAUGGAGUCUCCCUAUGUUGCCCAGGCUGGUCUCAAACUUCCUGUGCUCAAGUUAUCCUCCUGCCUUAGCUUCCCAAAGUGCUGGGAUUACAGGAAAUCAAAGAGCAGGAGGUUGUGGACAAAGUCAUGGAAACACUGGACAAUGAUGGAGACGGCGAAUGUGACUUCCAGGAAUUCAUGGCCUUUGUUGCCAUGGUUACUACUGCCUGCCACGAGUUCUUUGAACAUGAGUGAGAUUAGAAAGCAGCCAAACCUUUCCUGUAACAGAGACGGUCAUGCAAGAAAGCAGACAGCAAGGGCUUGCAGCCUAGUAGGAGCUGAGCUUUCCAGCCGUGUUGUAGCUAAUUAGGAAGCUUGAUUUGCUUUGUGAUUGAAAAAUUGAAAACCUCUUUCCAAAGGCUGUUUUAACGGCCUGCAUCAUUCUUUCUGCUAUAUUAGGCCUGUGUGUAAGCUGACUGGCCCCAGGGACUCUUGUUAACAGUAACUUAGGAGUCAGGUCUCAGUGAUAAAGCGUGCACCGUGCAGCCCGCCAUGGCCGUGUAGACCCUAACCCGGAGGGAACCCUGACUACAGAAAUUACCCCGGGGCACCCUUAAAACUUCCACUACCUUUAAAAAACAAAGCCUUAUCCAGCA
rnacentral:lncRNA from 10 species